rnacentral:rRNA from 1 species
GCUUGUCUCAAAGAUUAAGCCAUGCAUGUCUAAGUAUAAGCCUUUACACGGUGAGACUGCGAAUGGCUCAUUAAAUCAGAAACUGUUUAUUUGAUAGUGCCUACUACUUGGAUAACCGUAGUAAUUCUAGAGCUAAUACAUGCAAAAAGCCUGGACUUCUGGAACAGGCGUAUUUAUUAGAUAAAAAACCAAUGCCCCUCGGGGCUCCUUGGUGAAUCAUAAUAACUUAACGAAUCGCAUGGCCUUGCGCCGGCGAUGGUUCAUUCAAAUUUCUGCCCUAUCAACUUUCGAUGGUAGGAUAGUGGCCUACCAUGGUGGCAACGGGUAACGGGGAAUUAGGGUUCGAUUCCGGAGAGGGAGCCUGAGAAACGGCUACCACAUCCAAGGAAGGCAGCAGG